rnacentral:misc_RNA from 1 species
UGGUUCUGGCAUCGAUGAAGAACGCAGCGAAAUGCGAUAAGUAAUGUGAAUUGCAGAAUUCAGUGAAUCAUCGAAUCUUUGAACGCACAUUGCGCCCGCCAGUAUUCUGGCGGGCAUGCCUGUUCGAGCGUCAUUUCAACCAUCAAGUCUCAGGCUUGUGUUGGAGCCCUGCGGCUGCCGCAGGCUCUGAAAAACAGUGGCGGGCUCGCUGUCACACCGAGCGUAGUAAUACAUCUCGCUUUGGACGUGCGGUGGGUUCUUGCCGUUAAACACCCCCCUUCUCAAGGUUGACCUCGGAUCAGGUAGGAAUACCCGCUGA